CCUCUAUAGCAUUCAAAGAAGUGGUGCCUGUGGUUGAUGGGAAUGUUAUAAGGGUGCUUGCUAGGUUGAAGGCAAUUUCUACAAAUCCAAAAGACUCAAUGACUAUCAAGAACUUUUGGAAACUAGCAACUCAACUAGUUGAUCCUUGCUGUCCUGGGGAUUUCAAUCAGUCACUGAUGGAACUUGGUGCAACUGUUUGCACUCCAUCAAACCCAAGCUGCACUUUAUGUCCUAUUUCCAGUCAAUGUCGUGC
rnacentral:misc_RNA from 1 species